GAUGAACGCUGGCGGCGUGCUUAACACAUGCAAGUCGAACGAGAAGUGAAGACGGAAACCUUCGGGCGGAAGGCUUUAUUUCGAGUGGCGGACGGGUGAGUAACGCGUGGGUACCCUGCCUCAUACAGGGGGAUAACAGUUGGAAACGACUGUUAAUACCGCAUAAGACCACAGCACCGCAUGGUGCGGGGGUAAAAACUCCGGUGGUAUGAGAUGGACCCGCGUUCGAUUAGCCAGUUGGCGGGGUAACGGCCCACCAAAGCGACGAUCGAUAGCCGAUCUGAGAGGAUGACCGGCCACAUUGGGACUGAGAAACGGCCCAAACUCCUACGGGAGGCAGCAGUGGGGAAUAUUGCACAAUGGGGGAAACCCUGAUGCAGCGACGCCGCGUGAGUGAAGAAGUAUUUCGGUAUGUAAAGCUCUAUCAGCAGGGAAGAAAAUGACGGUACCUGAGUAAGAAGCCCCGGCUAACUACGUG
rnacentral:rRNA from 1 species